AGUUUUCGGACAACUGAUUUAGAGGACAGUGGCGGACUGGUGAGUAACGCGUGAGGAACCUGCCUUUCAGAGGGGGACAACAGUUGGAAACGACUGCUAAUACCGCAUGAUGUGUAACUGGGACAUCCCGGAUACACCAAAGAUUUAUCGCUGAAAGAUGGCCUCGCGUCUGAUUAGCUAGUUGGUGAGGUAACGGCCCACCAAGGCGACGAUCAGUAGCCGGACUGAGAGGUUGACCGGCCACAUUGGGACUGAGAUACGGCCCAGACUCC
rnacentral:rRNA from 1 species